GCCCAAAAGGGGCCAAAACAAGCAUUUUUCUAGUUUCAGGAUAAUAACUUGUGUACAUGUACAAGUAUUUCAAUUGCUCUGAAAUUAUACCUCUAUGUUUAAAACCACAAGUAGAAGGUUUGGAUUCAUUUUAAGGGUUAUGGGGCCAAAGUUUAGGAAUUAAGGGCCAAAAAGGGGCCAAAACAAGCAUUUUUCUAGUUUCCAGACAAUAACUUGUGUGUAAUUGUAUAGAUCUCUUUGAAAUUGU
rnacentral:lncRNA from 1 species